rnacentral:rRNA from 1 species
UACGAAGGGGGCUAGCGUUGUUCGGAAUCACUGGGCGUAAAGGGCGCGUAGGCGGCCGAUCAAGUCGGGGGUGAAAGCCUGUGGCUCAACCACAGAAUUGCCUUCGAUACUGUUUGGCUUGAGACCGGAAGAGGUUAGUGGAACUGCGAGUGUAGAGGUGAAAUUCGUAGAUAUUCGCAAGAACACCAGUGGCGAAGGCGGCUGACUGGUCCGGUUCUGACGCUGAGGCGCGAAGGUCAGGGGAGCAAACGGG